rnacentral:rRNA from 1 species
UUGGUGUUGAUCCUGGCUCUAGAUUGAACGCUGGCGGCAUGCCUUACACAUGCAAGUCGAACGGCAGCACGGGGGCAACCCUGGUGGCGAGUGGCGAACGGGUGAGUAAUACAUCGGAACGUGUCCUGUAGUGGGGGAUAGCCCGGCGAAAGCCGGAUUAAUACCGCAUACGCUCUACGGAGGAAAGGGGGGGAUCUUAGGACCUCCCGCUACAGGGGCGGCCGAUGGCAGAUUAGCUAGUUGGUGGGGUAAAGGCCUACCAAGGCGACGAUCUGUAGCUGGUCUGAGAGGACGACCAGCCACACUGGGACUGAGACACGGCCCAGACUCCUACGGGAGGCAGCAGUGGGCGAAUUUUGGACAAUGGGGGAAACCCUGAUCCAGCAAUGCCGCGUGUGUGAAGAAGGCCUUCGGGUUGUAAAGCACUUUUGUCCGGAAAGAAAUCCUCUUCGCUCAAUACCGAGGGGGGAUGACGGUACCGGAAGCAAUAAGCACCGGCUAACUA